rnacentral:pre_miRNA from 1 species
UGGACAGAUUAUUGUAUUCACCUGUAUUCACGGCGUGAAAUAGGGGAUGACAGUAUUUUUAAAAGGGAAAGUAAAUCAAUUAACAUAAUAGACUCCU